GAUGAACGCUAGCUACAGGCUUAACACAUGCAAGUCGAGGGACCGGCGCACGGGUGAGUCACACGUAUCCAACCUGCCCUUUACUCGCGGCAAGCCUUUCGAAAGAAAGCUCAAUACCCGAUAUCAGGGCUGGGGAUGCUUUCCAUUAGGUUGUUGGUGAGGGAGCGGCCCACAAAGCCUUCGAUGAAUAGGGGUUCUGAGAGUAAGGUCCCCAAUAUUGGAACUGAGACAAGGUGCAAACUCCUACGGGAGGCAGCAAUGAGGAAUAUUGGUCAAGGGGCGCUAGCCUGAACCAGACAAGUAGCGUGAAGUAUGAAGGCUUAUGGGUCGUAAACUUCUUUUAUAGAAGAAUACGUAUUAUAUGAAUAAGGAUCGGGUAACUCCGUGCCAGCGGCCGCGGUAAUUC
rnacentral:rRNA from 1 species